rnacentral:tRNA from 1 species
GGGGGUGUAGCUCAGUAGUAGAGCAGUUGUUUUGCACACAGAAGGUCACAAGUGCGAUUCUUGUCUCCUCCA